CUCCUGGAAGGGAGCUCUGCAGACAAGGACCUGGCUGUCCUGGUGGACAACAGAUUGACACGAGCCAGCAGUGUGCCCUUGUGGCUGAGAAGGCCAAUGGUAUCUUGGGGUGCAUUAGGAAGAGUGUUGUCAGCAGGUUGAGAGAAGUUAUCCCCUCCGUCUACUCCUCUGUGCUCCCUAGUUCAAGAAAGAUAGGGAACUCCCAGAGAGAAUACAGUAGAAGGCUAUGAAGAUGAUUAAGGGCCUGGAGCAUCUCUCUUAUGAGGAAAGGCUGAGAGACCUGGGACUGUUCAGACUAGAGAAGACUAAGAAGAGGCUUAUAAGUGUCUAAAGGGUAGGUGUCAAGUGGAUGUGGCCACACUCUUUUCAGUGGUACCCAGUGACAGGACAAGGGGUAAUGGGCACAAACUGUAACACAGGAAGUUCCAUACAAAUAUGAGAAAAAAAAGCCUUUAAUUUGAGGGUGACGGAGAUCUCGAACAUGCUGCCCAGAGAGGUUGUGAAUUCUCUCUCUCUGGAGAUAUUAAAAACCCUCCUGGAUGCUUUCCUGUGAAGCCUACUGUACAGAACCUGCUUCAGCAGGGGGUUGGACUGGAUGAUUUACAGAGGUCCAUUCCAGCUCCUACCAUUUGUGAUUCUGUGAAACAAAUCAUUUCACUGCAGGAAAAAUGUUGAACAGGAGGGGUGGCAAAGCUUUGGAGCAUGAGCAAGACUGUUAUGCAGCCAUAAUACUGUAAACUAAGGGUUAAAGAAAUGGAAAACAUGCCAAAGCAAAGCCAGAGAUACAAGACCACAUAAUCCAUUCAGGUUUCAGAAGGGAUAACUCCAACCAUGCCUUGAAGGUAGUCAGACAAAGUAUGGUUUUUCCAUUAGCUCAACUCGUGCAAUUAAGCUUGCUCAGAGUUACAUACUUCUGCACAGUUCUGGCCACAGAAGUCAUUUCUUCAUGCUCAGACCUGUUUGCAGGAGGUGAAACUGAGCUGGGACAUUGGAGCUGCAGAGAAAACUCCUAAUGAAGCAAAACCGCAUGAGGUUGUUCUUUGCAGGGGGUGGACGGCUGGAUUAGGCAGUGUAUUAAGUAAUCCCUUGGGAUAUUUUUCAACUGUAAUUCACGUUCAAUCAACAAAUAUGGAAUAGAUUAACUGUAGGAGGGGUCAUAUAUUUCUUGUAAGUCACAAUCUUCUUUUAUUCGUGACUAUCUACAGUACAAUAUUUUUGAAGCACUGUUUUUUUUUUUGUGGUUGAUUUUAAUGCUGUCCAACCCAUGGCAGAUUUAACUGCCGGUUUGAUUUUCUGAUGAAUUUAUUUGCAACAGUACUGUUUAAAAAUGAAGGGAUUAAAAGGGCUAAUGUUGAAAAGACCUUUAUUUCUAGGAGGCUGGGAUAUAUGUAAACACAGAUUUUAAAACCAGGAUCUUAAUAUUAGCUCUGGAAAUCCAUAUAUAGGUGCUCAGUGUUUGGCUUGAUUUAAGUAUAUAGCUGCUCCCUCUGAUUUCACAAGAUCAAGAGAUGUUCAGACUCCCAGACUCUGAUUCUGGUGGGUAGGACAGUUGCUUUAAAGCACAGCCUCUAUGACAUUUUCUUCAGGUUCAGUCCCACACAGUAUCAGACCCUUAAAUUCUGAGUCCUGCAAAGGAAGGGGUACGUUUUGUUAGUUAAUCUUCCAGCAUAGCCUGUCCUGUGAUGCAAACAGGAGCACGAAACCACGUCGCUCAGAAAGUCUUCUCCUCAGUGCAUGUCUUGUAAAAUCAAAUUCCUGAAUACUCAUUUCUGAACCUAGUGUAUCCGGAGCUUGUACUUUUUUAUUAGACCAAAUGUUUCAAAGGUUUUGCAUUAUAAACAUAAGACUUGAGUGGAUUUUCAGUUCCUCAUUCAAGGCUUCCAGUGCCUUGUCUCUCCAGCUGAGCUGCUCCUUCACGUGGGAAGUACCCGCCUGCCACACGUGGAAAUUUCCUAUGUGUAGCAAUUACAUUCCUGAGGAUGUCCAGCAUUGUCCUGAGCUGAACCGCUCGUGCCUUGCUGCUGCCUAAACCAAGUGCACAAAGCAACUCCAGCAGCUCUGCUUGCAGCUCAUUGGAGAUGAUGCUGAAGGGAGAGGACAUCUGAUAAAAUGCAGCAAUGGCCACAGGCUUUGAAAGAGCGGUGGCCUGAAAGCCUCUUCCCCAUACAUCCCCCCAUGUGAACCAUCCUAGUUCCUGGCUAUUAAUUCCAAACAAGCUUCGUCCAAACUGAGCCCUGCUGCUCCCAGUGACAUUCUAGAGAUGGCAGCCCCUGAGUUUCUUUAUACAGAAUGAGAGAAUUGGCUAAGAUUUAUUUUAAUCGAGUGUGACUCAGAAAAGUAGAUAGCUGUGUUACCAAGAAUGCUGUGGUGUUGAACAGAGGUGGGUAUCUACUAAAAAUAUUUUCAGAUUGCAAUUGAUACAUGCUGGGGAAUGUUAAAUCAUGCUAGUACCCACUAACAGUGCUGGAGGGGAGGUUUGAGAUUGCCUCCAAAUGUUGAUAAGACACAUAAACAUAAUAAUAAUUAAAAAGAUUAAAGUCAGACGGGGAUCUGGGAAUCUAAGGAAAAAACUGCCAGUGAUACAACAAGCUGCACAGCAGCUUCUAGGAGGGAAAUCCUCUUUUAAAUGGCAUUCAAACAAACAUUAGGGAGUAGGAUGCUGGGAACAGCCUGCUAUGAGGUGGGAAGACCUUGUGUCAGUUUGCUAAUUUGUUUCUUCUCCCAUACUUUGCUUGCUCCCUCGUGUUGUGGGACAUUCAAAUAUCUCGCUUCCAGACCUUGCAAAAUAUUCAAAUGUUUGCACUUAGCACUCAUAUAACUCUAACUCUGCAAUUAUUGGAUCUGACAUGCAAAGAUACUGACACUGCAUUUUAGGAUUUCUAAAACAAACACUUGAAAUCUGUCCACUCUCAUGGUCUCUGUGCACUGUAACAUACCUACACCUGGUGACGCAGUGUCUGAUCAACAGUAGCCCCAUUCUGUGCAUGGCACAGGACCCACCACUUUUCCAGCAGCUGCUCAUAGCAUUGAUUUUAUCCACUUUUUUUUGUGUGAACACCUCAAAGGACCAAUGGUGAGAGAGGGGGCUUUAAGAAGUAGGGAGGAUGGAGUGGAGGGUCAUGGGGAGAGUUCACAGAAGGAUUAGAUUUAGUUCUGGGGGAUCUACAGAGCGAACAAGCACACAGUUUUUAUGGGGAAGAUGUGGGCAGCUUAAUCUGAAGCUUUGCUGGCAGUGGGUGACCCACUCCUGGAUUCAGCUGUGCGUCUUUUACAAGUCCUUUCCCUUGACAUAAACCUGCAGUGCACCCCAGGCUGUAAGGGGCUCAAAGCCAACCGGAGAAGAUGACCUCCAGAGAGCUCAGUGGUUAAAAGUGUGAGCGAGUUGCACACAGUGCUGAGCAUACACAAAGAUCUCUCCAAGAUUUAUGACCUGACCAAACCCAGCUGGAAUUUGGUAGGGAUGGAUGAACGUAUUCACUUUAAAAAAGCCUUUCUUCCCUGAUCCCCCAAAUCCAAUCUCUUGCUUCGAAGGUAUAGUAUAAUCCUGUGAUUUGUUCAUGGAAAGGACAGAGGAAUGUGUAUAACAUCAGUACAGCGCAGUAUUCACCCUUUGUUUUAUUCUGAAAAAAAUGGUUGGCAUAUUUUGACUUAACUUAAAAAUAGAUUUAAAAUAUCCAUGCUUCCAGCACAAAAAUGGCCACUGAAAAGUAAUGAAGUAAAAUGGCCAUUCUGUCAGAGCAGUAGACAGCAAAAAUGAAGACCUUAGAAUGGAAAGUGUUAUUUAACUCUGUAAUGAAAUAAAGCAGCCCUCCAAGGGAGCUGCCUUUGAGCAGCUACAGCUGCAGCAUUUGCAGCAUCCCUGUAUCACAGUGAUAAACUCCUUCAUCCCCCUAUCUCCAGCACAGCUACAGCAAUAUCUAGAUUUCAGGUGUGCUAAAUAUUGACACAUCCUGUGCUAAAUAUUUUAUAUCCCGUCAAGUAGGAAACUUCAAAAACACUUUAAAAAUCACUUUAAAUUUAUAAUACUGAAUUGUGUUUAAAAAAGUAUCCUACAGACCCAUGUCAAAAAUGAAAGGCUCUGAUGUUCGUAUCUGGAUGCACAUAUUGAAAACUACCUGUGCUCUAGCAAAGCUGGCCUGGGUUUGGAAGUGGCUUAGGGCACCAGAUUGGAAGUUAGGGCUCUUUGGAUUUGUAGUUAAAUUCCUAACUGCAGAUGAAAGCACUCCAGCUAGCAAAUUCUGGUGAAGGACUUUGAAAGUGAAGAAAAUAACCCUAUCCAUUACUGAAUAGCACUAUUAGAUGAUUAGAAAGGGCUCAACACCACCUUGUUAUCUGCACAUGACCUCUCCUGAGGCAUUCGUGGC
ensembl:lncRNA